rnacentral:rRNA from 1 species
GAUGAACGCUGGCUACAGGCUUAACACAUGCAAGUCGAGGGGAAACGACGGGGAAGCUUGCUUCCCCGGGCGUCGACCGGCACACGGGUGAGUAACGCGUAUCCAACCUGCCUCUGACUGAGGGAUAACCCGUCGAAAGUCGGCCUAAUACCUCAUGGCAUCGUCUGCGGGCAUCCAACGACGAUUAAAGAUUUCAUCGGUCAGGGAUGGGGAUGCGUCUGAUUAGCUAGUUGGCGGGGUAACGGCCCACCAAGGCGACGAUCAGUAGGGGUUCUGAGAGGAAGGUCCCCCACAUUGGAACUGAGACACGGUCCAAACUCCUACGGGAGGCAGCAGUGAGGAAUAUUGGUCAAUGGGCGAGAGCCUGAACCAGCCAAGUAGCGUGCAGGAUGACGGCCCUAUGGGUUGUAAACUGCUUUUAUGCGGGGAUAAAGUGAGGGACGUGUCCUUCAUUGCAGGUACCGCAUGAAUAAGGACCGGCUAAUUCCGUG